CCGAUGGCGACCGGCGCACGGGUGAGUAACACGUAUCCAACCUGCCGAUAACUCGGGGAUAGCCUUUCGAAAGAAAGAUUAAUACCCGAUGGUAUAAUAAAGCCGCAUGGUUUAAUUAUUAAAGAAUUUCGGUUAUCGAUGGGGAUGCGUUCCAUUAGGCAGUUGGUGAGGUAACGGCUCACCAAACCUUCGAUGGAUAGGGGUUCUGAGAGGAAGGUCCCCCACAUUGGAACUGAGACACGGUCCAA
rnacentral:rRNA from 1 species